UACGAGUGUAUAUUUGUUAAUGAAAGUUUUGUAUUUUUUAUUGAAAUUCUGGAUUUUUAUUUUCAAUUUUUUAUAUUCUAACAGACGAUCAUUAAAUAUGAUAGAUAAACAAGUAGAAAAGAAUAUAGUAAUACAUAAUACUCUCCUCAUAUGUAAUACUCUCCUUAAACGUAAAUCAAAUUGUUUAAACUGGAUAUGAUGAUUAAAUGUUGUAACGGCAUGGUUUUAUCUGACUACUUUGCUUUUUCAAUUUGGUUGCCAGCUUCAACCUAAUUCUUGAUUUAGAACUAUGGUUUUGAACUAAAACAUUUCCGUGUCGAAUAAAAUACUAUUUAUUCUUAACUGUAUUUUUUUUGAGGCUUCAGUUAUCAAACGUUGGUGGUAAUUUUAGUUAUGCCACUGUGAAAGCGUCGAUUGUUAAGUAGGCAUAAAAAGUUUGAAGUAUGCACAAAGCCUGAAAGUGUCAAAUAUGGAACCUAAAAAAACCUGCCUUUGCCACUGACUGUAUAAAGGUUUUUUAAGGUCUGUUUGUUAAGCGUCAAGUCAGGUUAUCUUGCUACUGAUACCAUGUAGUACAUCCUGCCUAAGCAGGUUGUACGCCAUCCAUACGACGUUUGGGCAUCUGUUUGUAAAAUAUUGCUGCAAAUCUUUUUGAGAGAGCCAUUACUAUGGAGAACCAUCUAAACCAUACAAGUGAGGAAACAUGGAUGUAAAUCUUAAACACAUUUGUGAUAUAUAAUUGUAGAAUGUUAUAUGUUUGGAAAUUAUAUUCUGGAUAUUAAUGUGAAAUAAACUGAUGAGUUUAUUUAACUUAGCUGGUAAAAAAAAGAGUUUUCGUGAAACAAAUUUAAUGAAGACAAUUAUAGGUAUACCUGUUAAUGUAAUAUAUUUUGUAUUGUAUUUUGUAUGCUUAGUUUUGACGAAUUUUUAAAUACUGCAAACUCACACUCGCACUAAAAUCAACUGUGAACUCUUAUAUAAUCAGUUGCAAAAGUUGACUUUGAAAAUUUUGUAUAAGAUAUUAUAGCUUAUUUAUUAGACUGUUUUUAGAAUGAAGUUCAUUCAUAUGCUAGCAACAUUUUUAAACGUGGUCCAGAUCAACAAAAAUUUGGUGCUAGAAAUUGUCGAUAGUGGAAGUGAUAGAUGUAUCGAACCUAAUUUGUAAUUAAUUUCUGUAAAUAAAUUUCACUUUACUAA